rnacentral:lncRNA from 1 species
ACUUUCAAGUCCGCGAGUCUCUGAAGCUCGUAUUUGAAUUUGUGGCGUUUGGUGUUCGCGAGUUGCCGAAUGCAGCUGAGCGUCUUAAUGGAACCAGGGAUCUCAGGGUGAAGACUGAAGUCCUAGGCCAUGGCAGAAGUCGGGUGCCUGAAGUACACCUGGAAAUAUGCCAUCUGAACAUUGGACUAUCACCGCCUGCCCCUGGCUCAGCGCCCGGUGCCAACAGAACACCUUUCAGGAUCCACAGCAACGCAGACAACGGAACCCACACAGGCUUUGGUUCUCAAGAGGCCAUCAAAACUAAUUGCUGCUGAGACAAUACCUUUCCUUCUCCUUACUAAACUCACUGAAUGUUUUGGAUCAGUGUAUCUCACACCUUUGGAUUUUAUAAGCUACUUGGAAAAGUGAGUAUACCAACAGAUUUGCCAAUGCAUAUUACCAAGCAACAACGUUCAAAUAUAUUGUCAUGAAAGACAUUGUCACAUGAAAGAAGUGGGAACAGUGUAGUAUCAGGAUAAAUAAUAAGCAUACCAUAAUUAAGUUAACCCUACAGCCUCUCUUUUUGUCUAUGAGUAUAGUUUGUUUAAUUGCAUAUCUUUGUUAAUUACAGAUGGAGAAAAUGUAUUGUAGUUAACAUAAUCACUUUCUUUGCCUAAACCUUUACUUGGAGUUAUAAUUAUGGCACACACACAGAAAUCCUCCAAAUGCU